rnacentral:tRNA from 2 species
GCGCUCGUAGCUCAGUGGAUAGAGCAACGGUUUCCUAAACCGUAGGUCGGAGGUUCAAUUCCUCUCGGGCGUA